rnacentral:lncRNA from 1 species
GACACAUUGUAUUGUUCAACCAAUUCUCGGUGUGAACCCAAAACUUUCACUGUGUUGAUUGUAAUCGUUCGUCAUCAUGACUGUGUUGCAGCAUUGUUUUUUAGGGCGAUAAUUCUUGUAUACGAAGAACGGACAGUGUUGAUAUGCACAAGCAAGUAUUAAUUCAAAUAUGUAAAUAAGAUACGACUGAAAAGAAGAUACAUAAGUGCGAAGAAAUGAUAAGUUGACAAUUGGAAAAUUGAAAAGACGAUUAUCUCAAGGUUUUAGUUUGAAGUCGCCCAUCUAUGUCAAGACACAAAAACAUUUCAAAAUGAGAAGCAGAUCUUCUACUUGCAAAUUUUUCCCUUAUCUUAAGUUCAUUUAUAUAUGUUUAAAGCAAAGGACGAACAGAUUUAUAGAUUAUUCGGUUCCCUACAUAUUGAUAUCGUACAAUCUUAGCCACGAGCCACAAGGGGGAACUUUUUGGCGAGUGAGCGUAGCAAACGAUCUAUAAAACUUCAAUUUGUGUCGAGCGACUGCUAUCUGUACGAGAUAUAUACGACAUAAACCCAAUUAUAUAUUAAUCGUUAUAUAACAUGUGUUUCCGUUUGCUAUCUUCCUAAGACAGUUCGACGCUUGACAAAAGGACUCUUGAUAAUGUCUCCUGACACAAUGUGUCGUCGCUGAUAAUGUUGUUAUCGUCUCAAAGAUAUGUGAAUUAGGCAGAGAGUGAGAUGGGUUGUAUAGGCGUAGGGGGGGGGAUAGAUAAUGUUGAUUAAGUGACUUGAGAUUAUCCUCUACUAUUUAUUUAGAAGUAAAAAUAGAGAAUACAAUUGAGAAUGGAAACGGCGAACAUAUCAAAGAGACAAUAACCCGAACAAAGAGCAGACAACAUCCGAUCUGGGCAAGUUAUCUAAAUAUCAUACAAUGUGAUACUUUGUAUCCAGCUUUUACGAAUUGAAUCCCAAGGAGACUUAUGAUAGCAUAAUACUUGGCAUAGUCAAAAAUUAAAAGACAUAAUUAUACAAAUAAACUUUCCGGAUUACCUCUGAUCACAACCUGUUUUUUGGUUGCUUUCAAAUUUCUUUGUCUUUACAUUUAUAUGUUAGGGUUUGUUUACUGUUGUUUGUCUUUUGAUUUUUUUGUAAUCGUGUUUUUUUUUCUCUUAUGUAAAAUUCAUUGAGAUAUGUUUAAUGCACAAGACGCACAAAAGUAUGAAUUAUCGCGUUCUCUUAACUCUGAUAUUGUAAAAUAUAUUAGCCGAGAGCCACAUUAUAAACCUUUUUUAGCUAGUGUGCGCAGUACUUUGUCUUAUGAGAGGAUGCAUUUAAAUCUCUAUUCAUCAUUCAAGAAUAGAAAGUCACAGCGUAGAACAAUCAAUGUUUCGCAAUCACUACAAUCUUUAAUGAAUCUAAUAGCAAACUUUGUAGUAGGCUUUAAAUAUGUUUUGAAAUUCACUCUGAUUUACACUGCUGUUUCAAUAUAUUUCAUCGAUGUCAAUUGUUCUUUAUAGGUGUGUUUGACGUUUAGAAGUCUAAUGUAAAAAUGGUAGCGUUUCAUCAUCAUCAUGUGUUAUGUCAUUACCGGAGGAGAAAUGAGACGGAUAUGUGAUUUAUAAAAAUCUUAUCUUUUGAGGAUAAUGUUAAUUAUGUGAAGGAUGUAUGUGAGAUUCAUAGUUUUACAUUGCAUCCCAUUCCUAAAUGAAACAAGAAAGCAAUGCUGUUUAAGAUUUAUUUUACUGGAAUUACAUUGAAUUUGUCGUGAGGAUGACAGUAAAGCAUUCACAUCCCGUGCUAGUUUGAAAUGGUUAGAAAUCUGCGUAAUCAUCGCAACGUCAUAGAUAUUGAACGUGCGUCUGAAUGUAUCAUCGAUCAACUUUAAUCACUUUAGAUAAAGUGUCAAGUUUGUGAUCAUCUUAUUCAUUUGCUUGCAUAGUCCGCAACUGCAUCAAUUUCUAAUCUGAAGUUCUUCUGUUGGUUGAUCGGCUAUACUUUUGACCAUUCCAUUAUCUUCUAGCCGUGUAGCAAUGCCGAUGUUUUCUGUAAGUAACAUAUUUAUAGCAUAGUUUAAUCAAUUUAUAGUGUACAUCUCUUUAAACGGUGUUUGGAACAUAAAAUUAACAAGAAUACAUUGAAAGUAUAUGUGAACUCAGUAAAAAUUUACUGAUUAAGGCUAAAUAUUCCUAUUUCAUCCUCCUUCAAACUGACGAAGAUUAAUUAACUUAAAAUUAUGAAAAAAACACUUCUUCAUCGACAUAGGAACAUAAAAAUAUGGAAGAUAAUACAAUACAUCGUUGUUUAAUAAGAUAACAUUACAACCGUACUAAAGUAUAAAAAAAUAGUUCUUCGGCGUCAUACAAUCGUAUCUGAGCGUCAAACAACCGUACUUUAGCGUCAAACAAUGGUCCUGAAGCGUCAAACACUUACUUAACCGUAAUCCAAUAGUACAUAAGCGUCAAACUAUCGCCCUUUAGCAUUAAACACUUACUUUACCGUCAUCUAAUAGUCCAUCAUCGUCAAACAAUCGUCCUUGAAUGCCGUCAAACACUUACUUACCGUUAUUCAAUAGUUCAUCAGCGUCAAACUAUCAUCCUCUAGCGUGAAAAUAGCGGUUAGAACGACCAAAGCGGUCCAUACAUAUAUUAUAUAUAUUUAUAAAUACCGUUUUGUCUUUUGAAGUUUACUCGAUGUGUUUUUAGAUAAAGUAAACUCAGAUUAUAUAUAAAAAAAGGUAUCAACUUAUAAAUUAUAAAAAUAAAAAUAAGUGGUAUGAUUGAAAAUAAGACAACUUACAACCAAAGUUUAUAUGAAGUGAAUCUCAUCGACCAACGAGCGGCAUUCAACUAUGAAAAUUAUCAACACCUAACGUCAACUGUAAAAGGCACCGACACGGUUUUCAAAUAUAAAAGAUUGCAAAUAUUACAUGUAUUAUGCCGCCUAUGUGUUAAGACAAAGACAAGUCAUAUUGUUCAACCAAUUAUCUGUGUAAACCGUAAACUUAUAUAUAUUAUGUUGAUUUUAACCGUUCAUUAGCAUUACUGAGUUGGAGCAGUGUUUUUGUAAGGAGGCUAUUCUUGUUUACAAAGAAGAGACAGUGUUGAUAUGCACGAGGCCAAAUAUGAAUUCAAAUAUGUAAACAAGAUACGACUUGAAAGAAAAUAUUUUACUGCCGAGAAAUGAUAUGUUGGCAUGACCGUUUUGCAAAAAUUUCUAGUUUGAAGUCGUCUAUUUAUUACAUAUUUUCAGGCUGGAUAAAAAAGGCUUCUAUCAAAUUAUGUUGAAUAUUUUUAACAAAAUUCAAAAAACCUGUAUGACAGUGAGCAAAAUUUGUUUUGUCAUAAAACAAUCACUUUUUCAUUGUGACGUCAUAUUUUUGCAAUUAUGACGUCAACAUUUUACGGGAAAGUUUGUGAUUAUAAAAAAUAAGAUGUGGUAUGAUUUGCCAAUGUGACAACUCUCAGCAAGAGAGUAAAAUGACACAAACAUUAACAAUUAUAGGUCACCGUACGGCCUUCAACAAUGAGCAAAGCCUAUACCGCAUAGUCAGCUAUAAAAGGCUCUGAAAUUACAAUGUAAAACAAUUCAAACAAGAAAACUAACAGCCUAAUUUGUGUAUAAAAAAUAAACGAGAAACAAACAUUAAACACAUAAACAAACGACAUCCACUGAAGUUUAUUUAUGUAUAUUUAAUGCAAAAGACGCACAGAAUUAUAGAUUAUCGGGUUUUCAACAUAUUAAUAUCGUAAAAUAUUAGUCACAAGCCACAAUGUGAACCUUUUAAGCUAGUGAGCCCAGCGCUUUGUUUUAUGAGAGAUUGUAUUCUAUCUUUCUAUUGAUCGUUCAAUUGAAGACAAGAAUGGCACAGCGUAUAAAAAUUACAACACAACAACAACCUUCAAUGAUUCUGAUAGCAGACUUUGUAGUAGGCUUAAACUAUUUUUGAAAUUCAAUCUGAUUUACACUGCUGUUUCAAUAUAUUUCAUCGCUGUCAAUUGUUCUUUAUAGUUGGUGUGACGUUUAGAAGUCUAAUAUUAAAAUAGUAAUGUUUCAUCAACAUGUGGUAUGUCAUUACCGGAGGAGAAAUGAGACGGAUAUGUGAUUUCUAAAAAUCCGAUCUUUUGACAAUAAUGUUUAUUGUGUGAUGGAUGUAUGUGAAAAUCAAAGUUAUGCAGUGCAUUCCCAUUCCAAAAUGAGACACGAAAGCAAUACUGUUUAAGAUUUACUGGAACAACAUUUUAUUUGUCGUGAGGAUGACAAUAAAGCAUUUACAUCCCGUGCUAGUUUAAAAUAAUUAGAAAUCUGCGUAAUCAUAGCAACGUCAUAGAUAUUGAACGUGCGUCUGAAUGUAUCAUCGAUCAACUUUAAUCACUUUAGAUAAAGUGUCAAGUUUGUGAUCAUCUUAUUCAUUUGCUUGCAUAGUUCGCAACUGCAUCAAUUUCUAAUCUGAAGUUCUUCUGUUGGUUGAUCGGCUAUACUUUUGACCAUUCCAUUAUCUUCUAGCCGUGUAGCAAUGCCGAUGUUUUCUGUAAGUAACAUAUUUAUAGCAUAGUUUAAUCAAUUUACAGUGUACAUCUCUUUAAACGGUGUUUGGAACAUUAAAUUAACAAAAAUACAUUGAUAGUGUGUGUGUAAUCAGUAAAAGUUUAC